rnacentral:rRNA from 1 species
UACGUAGGGUGCGAGCGUUAAUCGGAAUUACUGGGCGUAAAGGGUGCGCAGGCGGCGUCGCAAGUCAGGCGUGAAAUCCCCGGGCUUAACCUGGGAAUGGCACUUGAAACUACGAUGCUGGAGUAUGGCAGAGGGCGGUGGAAUUCCACGUGUAGCGGUGAAAUGCGUAGAGAUGUGGAGGAACACCGAUGGCGAAGGCAGCCUCCUGGGCCAAUACUGACGCUCAUGCACGAAAGCGUGGGGAGCAAACAGG